UACGGGGGGGGCAAGCGUUGUUCGGAAUUACUGGGCGUAAAGGGCUCGUAGGCGGCCAACUAAGUCAGACGUGAAAUCCCUCGGCUUAACCGGGGAACUGCGUCUGAUACUGGAUGGCUUGAGUUUGGGAGAGGGAUGCGGAAUUCCAGGUGUAGCGGUGAAAUGCGUAGAUAUCUGGAGGAACACCGGUGGCGAAGGCGACAUCCUGGACCGGUAUUGACGCUGAGGCGCGAAAGCCAGGGGAGCAAACGGG
rnacentral:rRNA from 1 species